GAUAUGUGUGUUGGGGGGAGUGGUAAUUAAACAAGGCUACCAUUGUAUCUCCUCCAUCAGGAAAUCUGCCACCCCUGUCUGGGGAUGGCUUGUUUUCUCCAGCUUCCUCACACAGCCUUGGUCAGCAUCUUUCUAAGGAAACGUGGAGGUGUUGUGAGUGGGCAGAGCACAUGCAAGAGGCCCAGCCUGGACCAGGGAGAGCAAAUAGGAGACUGCUCAGUCAGAACCAGUGAGAGUGCUUUUGUUUUGAAAUAACUAAAGAAAAUAAAGAUAAACUUCCAUAGUAGGUCUUUGGUAGGCUGGGUCUUAUUGCUACUCCAAAGUGUGUGACUUUACCUUGUGCUGCAGUGAUAGAUGCUCAUGCAAUGAGAGUAUCCAUGAGUAGGAAGGUGGCGCUCCCUCUAGGUCCUCUUGCUCUGGGGCAUUCCCUCCUGGGUCUGCAGCCAGAAACAUUUUAAUGAGGGGAAUGGGUGUUCUUCCUUCCCUUCCCACUUGCUCCCAAUCCAACCCCUUGGGAAGGAAACCCUGGGAGUGACCUUCCUUUUCUAUUUGAUGGAAGCACCAAGGUGAGGUAACACAAAACACCACGCAAUACAAAUACACUAUGGGGAGGGGAUCAUUCGCCCUCUGGAGGGAGAGAAGGAAGCAGGUGGAGGAGGAAGAGGGGCCUGAGAGGUGAGAGCAGAGGGAGAGAUUAUGCUUGCCCUGACCCAGAUCCUGAAAGAGACCCCUUGAGCUGUUAGGAUUUCUGGUUUUGAAGGAUUAAGAGAAGCCAGCCAUUCACAAAUCAAGGCUCACAUCUGGAGCUUGGCUUUUGGUCUCCCCCGUCCCCCCAGAUCUAAUCCAGGAAUGAAUUCAUUAAUGGGUCCAGUGCAUUUUCAGAGACCAAACAGAAUGACGUGCUCUAAAUACUCAGUGCUAGCAGGUUCAUGGGGUGGGCUGCUCUGAUUUUCCCUCCCCCCAUUCCCUCCAUCCCUCCAGGUCCCUCUGUCUUCCCUUGACAGACUGGGGCUCAAGAGCUACAUUGCCACUGUUUAUCUCUCUUCCUCCUCAAACAUCUUACUAUAGCACUUACCGGUAUAAUAUGUGAAUUUUGUAACUAUGACUCUAUAAACCAACAGCUUCUCUUGUGUUUAGAAUGACAGAUGUCUGAAGUGCUUGUUGCUCUCUCAGUAACAACCACAAUUCUUAAUUCCUUUCUGUUCAGGUGCCCAGACCAAGAUAGACUGAGAUGAGUAUUUUAUAGUCAGUGGGUUUCCUAUUUUAAUUAUCCUCACACUAUAUAAGAUGCACUUAUGAGUGUAGGCUAUGUAUUAAGCUACAUGAAGAAAAGUACUUUAUUUAAAAGUGCUAAGCAAAACUAAGAUAGCUGUUUUUUUUUUUUUUUUUUAAUUUAAGCAGCAUUGCUUUUAAGCCUGGAAAAAAAGUAUGAGAUCUCUACACAAUUCACUCAGGCUAGGCAAAGAUCUGGGUAAAUGUGACAAAAGGUGAAACUUCUCAGCACCCAAACUUCUUUGAUAACAUACUUGUUGUGGCUUGCAUCUAGUUGUCCCCCUAAAGCCUUAUGCACUUAUAAGUGUAGUUUGUGGAGCUGGCUGGAUCCAGGGUGUAUGAUACUGGGAUUAAAGGUGUGUGACACUAAAUUAGUCCACUGAUUUGAAUUAGCAUAGUUCUGGGUGUGGAUAAUGGGAUAAUGGGAUAAUGGGUGUGGGUGGCAUUGCCCGAAAGGCUUGUAGCUUGGAUGGAAUAUAAAGUGAAAGAGGGAUGCCAGGCUCGAUGGUGCUUCUACUGCUGUUGCUGCUGCUGCUUGCUGCUUACUGCCUUCUGCCUGCCCUGCCGUGGACUGUUUCUCCUCUCUGAUACCCCUCUGCCAUGCCACCCUGCCUUGGAGCCAGCCAACUAUGCGGACUGAAACCUCUACAAACUGUGAGCUGGAAUAAACCUUUCCUUCUGAAAAGCAGCUAUAACAACACUUGUGCCCAGCACAUAUUGGGCAAUCAUGAGGCAUUACACUAAUAAGGACUAAAAACACCACAAGAUAAAAGUAAACACAAAAGCCAUCUUUUCCUGAGCUAAUGUUAUAUCUUUUCCCAAAAAGGUUAAAGCAAGCAGAUGUGCUUAUCUAAGUCAAAGGGGUCUUUUGUAAGGCCUACAUGAAAGAGCUUGACAGUUUACAACUUUAGGGUACAACUUUAGUUACAAUACAGGUGUUCCUGGAAGAUGACAAGGAACAAGAUUACCUGGAAAAUGUGUUUCUAAAAUAUCUACAUUUGCCAACUGUGACCUUUUCCCACAUCUUCAUUCUCUUAUACAAACCCUGAUCUCUCAUCCUGACUAUGCAGUUCCUCUCUUGGAAAGCUGUCAGCUGUCCUUCCUGACAGUGUACCCAGCAAUCUAAAUAAAUUCUUCUCUCUCCUGUGUUCCUUGUCUGUUGGUAAAUUCCUUUACCAACCAUGUCCCCAGUUCUCCAUCUGACACAGCAGUGUUAUUAGCCUUUGAGUCUAUUUUUUCUCAAUGUCUCCAUCAAAAUCAAUCUUCUUUAUUCUGAUUUGGUAAAAAAGUUGUUUUGGUCAUGCAAGAGGAUUAAGAUUCAUGCCAGGGAUUUAGCUCAGUGGUGCCACACCUGCCUCACAAGCUCAAGGUCCUGAGUUUGAUCCCCAGUGCCAGGGGGAAAAAUGGAGAUUCAGCCAUGAUGUCUGUGUAGCUGGUCCUAAAGGUGGAGGCUGAGAUAGAAUGGCUUUCAAGGUGUGCUACUCAAAGUGUGUACCUUGGGCCAGCAAAUUGAGGAUCAUGGGGAAGCUUACUGGGAAAGCAAUUUCCCAAUCCCUUCCCCAGUCAUACUGGAUUAGAAUAUCUGUAGACAGUCCAAGGAAACUGUUUUAACAAGCUCUCAACAUAACCCUGCUGCCCACCAAAGUUAGAGAGCACUGUCCUACAGGGCCUACCACAUGUGGGUGUCUUGUCCUCUGCUGGACAUUGUGGUACAUGAGGGAUCUGAGGGUUGGAAGGUAAAUUCUCUUGGAUAAGGGCUUAUAGUCUGGGCUGAGACAGGCUAGGCAGAGCCCCAAGAACACCUUUUACUCCUUAUGAUAUUCAGCCCCAGUAGCCUCAGUUUCUUCAUCUGUAAAAUAAAGAUGCCAGUGGUACCAAACUGCUCUAAUUGCUCUAAUAUUACAUGUCUAGCAAAUCACAAGCUCAGUACGUAUUAGCUGCUUUGUUGAUGUCAGUGGGCACCAUUUGAUGGUUACCAAAUGGAUGUAUCAACCUUAAAUUCUGUGCAUGAGCUGUCUGAGGUGACCAGUGCGGGGGCUAUUUUUAGGGUGAAAGCUUAGGUCCAGGGGCCCCAACAGACCAGGCUCAGCUACUUGUCUCCAACUCUAAUCAGGAGAACAGCAGUGGUGAGAGUUAAUUAACAUGGCCAUUCUGGGAAGCACAGCUAAAGAGGUUCAAGAUCUGAGUUCAAGGGGCUGACCAAGACCUUGGCCUUGGGGGGAACAAAAGAAAGGUUUGGGAUUUGCCUAGCUGGCAGCAUGGGUCAUCCUGGUCAAGUUGAGUCAGGACUGGUUCUGAGAGCUCCUGGGAGAACCACAUGAACCUGAGGAGCCAUCUAGUCUCCAUCAUGAGGUGGCAGUCAUGCAAUGAUGGCCCCUCCUGCAGGGGCAACCUCCAUUCCGUCAUGGGUAACGGCUCCCGCUUGGUGGGCAACCUCAUCAGGCACCUACAAGGCUCAGUUUUUCCCAAAUCCAAGGGGACUGUGGGCUUAGGACAAUGACUCCAGACUUCUAGGCAUCACUGGGGGGCUCCAGAACUGGGUAUUGUAAAAGCUGGAACUCGGAUGUUCUUACAAAUCCUGAAUGUAACUUCAGUUACUCCUCUUUCGCCAUCCUAAAUCUUGAAGGGGAUGAGACACCAGACGCAUUUAGGGCUGGUGACACAGGCAGGCCUUUCUUAAGUGUUAACCUGCCUAUGUGAGAGCUACACCCAAGUUUAAAGCAAUACAUGAAAUGAACACAAAAUGAAGGUGGGGACGCCAAGCUCCAUCCUGCUCUUAGCUACCCACUGGGCACCUCCACGUCCUGCUGUCUCACUCUGGACAUCAGCGUGCGUGAACGAGGUAUUGGCACUCUGAAAGCCUGGCCUCUCAUUAGUCACUCCCACCUCUCAUGCAGCAGGAGGCAGCAGGAUUUCUCACACACAGCAAUCAUUUCUUUCUCUGGUAAAGACAGUAAUCUUGGGAAAAGAAGGGCAAUUAUCUUAGCAGAAUUACCAACCUUGCAGGGUGACAUUAUCAACUGUUGGAAAUUACAUGGUAUUCAUUUGCUGCUAUUUUAAUGUUUGUCGUCUUCUACUUCCCCCCUUCCCCAGCCCAGUGCUGAAUCCCCUACCUUCCCACCUCCUUCUUUCUUUUGAUUAAUCCUGGGAAAUAACUUCCUUAUUUUUAGCAGGCUGAUGCUCCUAGCAGGGAUUUGAUAUUGAGGAUCAUAAUAAGGACUUCCACACUUUCAGCUGGGGCUCAGCCACCACCCUUUGGAUUUUCCAAUGGUGCUUCAGCACGUCUGUGGCUGCCAACAAGGAAAUGCCCACUGGACACCUGAUGGCUGGAUUCAAAGCUGCCUGGCUGCUCUUCCCUCCUUCAGGUUACUCUACUAGACUGGGUGAUAUUGAAAGCCAGUGACCAAAUGGUGUGAGCUUGCUAUUGUAGAGCCCAGGAAUAAGACAGGGUUGCAGUAAGUGUGUGUGUGUGUGAGUGUGUGCGUGUGUGUGCAUGUGUGUGGACUUGAGCUGAGAUGAGGAAGGGGUGGCUGCUAACACCAAGGUGAUGUGCUGACCAUGACACUGGAAGCAGGAAGCCACGGCUGGAUUCUCACUCUGCAUGUCUAUUACUUACCUUAUUUGGGUAAGUAGUUUAGCCUAUCCCAAUCUAUUAACUUUUUAAUAUAUGAAAUGGGGACUACACCAAUGAAUUCAUAUGUCACAGUGGAUUCAUGUAAAAUCCAAACUGCAUUUGAACUGGGGCUAUUAUUGUAAAAUUGAAGAAUACAUUUUGGUCUUCAACCUCAUUUCUUGGCAUAUAACUGUGAAAAUCCUUGGGAUCUUCAAAGUGAGGAAUCUUGCUGUAUGCUAAUGAGUUGGCUCAAGGCCCGCAGCCCCUAGGUGGUUUCCAGAGAGGGACUGCGCAAUGGAAAAACAGAAGCAGGAGUAGAGGGGUUGAGGCCUUCCCAUUCAGCUUCCAACUCUGGGAGAAGUGAAGAAGUGAGGAGUGAGAGGUUAAGUUGAUCACUAGUGACCAAUAACUUAAUCGAUCAUGUCUGUGUAAUGAAGCCUCCAUAAAACCCCAAAAGAAUGGGGUCUGGAGACCUCCUAGAUAACCAGACACAUGGGGGUGCAUGGAGGGGGUGCCCAGGGAGGCCUGCAGGCUCCACACCCCUUGCUGCAGCCCUUGCGGUGAGUCUGUCUCUGUAAUAUCCUUUAUAAUAAGGGGCUGAGUAAAUAUUUCCCUGAGCUACUCUGGCAAAUUAAUGGAGCCCAUGGAGAGGUUGUGGGACCCCAGAUCUGCAGCCUGUGGGCCAGAAGCCCAGGGAAACAACCCAGGAUGUGACUGGCAUCCGAAGUGGGGCUGGAGGGGCAGGCUUGGGGACUGAGCCCUAAGCCUGGGGCAUCAGAAUUGAGCCCCACUGCUGAAGACCUGCAGGUGGGGGUGAGGAAAACCCUACCACACUUAGAAUCAGACGCAGUAAGAUGGAGCGUAAGACUGGGUUUGAUUUUUUUCCCUGUAUCUUCAGAAUUGUUUCCACAGUAGUUAACAUUUCUUGAAUUCCUAUUAUGUGCUCAAUCUUGAACUAUGCCUUUUACGUACACAUCCUCCAAAACGACCCUGAGAGGUAGAUGUGAUUAUUAGUCCUAGUUUAUAGCUAUGGAAACCAAAAGUUGAUCCGAUUAAGGAGGGUGUUGAGGCUUCUCGACUAGUAACCGGCAGAGCCCUGCUAAGUGCUGGUCACUGUGCACCGUUAUUAAGGCAUCUUCUCUCCUAGCUCUGUUCCUCUUCCUAACCUUCUCCUCCCGUGCCCUUGGUCUCCAGUGAUGAGUGCCUGGUAGCCCGGAAGAGUUCCCAGGCCUUUUCCUGUUAUCCCCGAGAAGUCUCCAACGGGUGCGAGGUCCAGCAUCUCAUCUCGACCCAGAGGCAGAGAUUGACACGUGGGAGGCUGGGGCAGCCUGGUAACUUCUCAGCCUACACAGCGCCACCUGCUGGCUCCCUUCUCCUGCGCAGCCAGGAAGCAGGAGGCAGAGUGGAAGGGGAAGUCCUCAGGCACACGCUGUCUCUGGAUGUGAAGUCAGCUCUGCAGAACGUCCUGGCCGUUCGACCUUGAGGAAGCUGCGGUUCAGCUCCAGACUGUGUAACCACCUUGUGAGAAGACCUGUUCACCCUGACCCAGUCUGAGGAGGCACAGCCUGGAGAGGGGGAGAAAAGGCCAAAGCCCCCACCCCACUCUAAUUCUGUGUUGAUUCUGGUCAAGGCCCUUCAUUAAUGAAAGGCAUUAGUUUUGUUUCUCAAAGAAAAACAAUUUUAGAUACUAAGGUCGUGUGCAACCUUGGCUGAGGGUUGCUGCCGUUCUACUACUGACAGAGCAUUGCUGCAGAUGGAUUAUCACUGCUGUCAAACCUCCCAACAGGCUCUUUCUUUGGACAGCUUUCAUCAGACCUCUGAACCUUCUCCUACACCCAUUUGUGCAAGACCUUGUCAAGUCGGACUUUUUUCGGUGCAGGGGAUCAAACUCAGGACCUUCCACUUGUAAGGCAGGCACGGCGCCACUGAGCUAAAUCCCGGCCCUUCAAGUCUGAUUUUAGCAAAGAGCUCACGCCCUCAGCAUCCCUCACCCUGGUGUCUGGGGAGGCCCCUCAUCCUGUGCCAGAAGACAUCAGGUUUCCCUGUCCUGAAUGCACCCAUGAUUCUUCAGGUCAGCACAGCCCGGGUCCUGGCCCUUGCGCUUCUCCGUCAUUUUCCACCCACUGACCUCACCCUGCCUGGGCGAAGACUCCCGCUUGGCCACGCUGCAGGUGACGUGAACCCUAAUCUCAGUGCUCCCUGCAAGAUCAUACUGAGUGGUCCCGACACCCCAAUACCUGGAUGGUCCUGGACAAAGUCCUUCUUGCCACAGUUUCACAAGUGUCACUGAAUGUUUUUUUCUGUAACAUCCCCAAGAUUUUUACUCUAAGAAGCCUUUCCUGUAACCCUAAAUGCAUCCCUGGUCUGCAUAAAGUUAGUUUUCGGGUGGGGGUGACUUUUUCAAUGUCCAGCUUCUCGGUGGCCCUGAAGAAGAGGCCUCAGACCUACGCUGGACGAAUGCUGAGGUGCAGAUGUCUGGAGAGUGCAUUUCGCCCCAAGGACUACAGUUACCACAGCAAGAAGCCUGGGCCCCGUGGAGGUGGCCAGAAGCCCUGAGCACCCUGACUCUGGGAUUACGUCUUUGCUCAGAGUCCUGUUUCGCUCCCACACCCAGAUGAGACUGGCUGUCUCAACUUUCCAUGGCACAGCGACGUAGCUGAAGAUGUGACUAAAAGCAUUUGCGUUCUGUGGGCCUCUUGAAGGCAAUCAGGGUGGAUUUGGUUUGUCCGGGUCUCCAACACCAACUUCAGUGCCCAGAAAGCAAUGCAUCUUUGGUGUUUGUGGAGUGAAUGAAAGGUUAGCACAAGGGUUAGCUAUGCCGUUUUGUCAACAGCAAAGACCUUCAAGCAGUACUUCAAACCAAUGCUUUCAUAAUUCUCACAAACUAGCUCACAGAUCUAGAGUGUGUCACAUUAUAAUAUUAAAUAUAACAUUAAAAUAUUGCAUUUUAUGAUUAAACAAAAUAGGCAUUGUAAAUACCAGGAAAAAUGCAAAGAAAAUUAAAAAAUCUGUAAUCACACC